rnacentral:rRNA from 1 species
UAAUAAUAGAAUUAUGCGAUGUCGGCUCAUCACAGCGCGGGGGUGAAGAAGCUCCCAAGCGUUUGGCUGUUCGCCAAUUAAAGUGGUACGUGAGCUGGGUUUAAAACGUCGUGAGACAGUUUGGUCCCUAUCUGCCGUGGGCGUUGGAAGAUUGAGGGGGGCUGCUCCUAGUACGAGAGGACCGGAGUGGACGUGCCUCUGGUGUACCGGUUAUGACGCCAGUCGUAUCGCCGGGUAGCUAAGCACGGAAGAGAUAAACGCUGAAAGCAUCUAAGCGUGAAACUUGCCUCAAGAUAAGUCUUCCCUUGCACCUUGAGUGCACUAAAGGGUCGUUGAAGACCACAACGUUGAUAGGCUGGGUGUGGAAGCGCAGUAAUGCGUUAAGCUAACCAGUACUAAUUGCCCGUGAGGCUUGACCCU